rnacentral:rRNA from 1 species
UACAGAGGGUGCGAGCGUUGUCCGGAAUCACUGGGCGUAAAGGGCGCGUAGGCGGCCUGGCAAGUCUGUGGUGAAAGCUCGUGGCUCAACUGCGAGUCGGCCAUAGAUACUGGCGAGGCUCGAGUCGACUAGAGGCAGAUGGGAAUUCCGGGUGUAGCGGUGGAAUGCGUAGAGAUCCGGAAGAACACCGGUGGCGAAGGCGAACUUACUGGACAC